UACGUAGGGUGCGAGCGUUGUCCGGAAUUAUUGGGCGUAAAGGGCUCGUAGGCGGUCUGUCACGUCGAAAGUGAAAACUCAGGGCUUAACCCUGAGCCUGCUUCCGAUACGGGCAGACUAGAGGUAUGCAGGGGAGAAUGGAAUUCCUGGUGUAGCGGUGAAAUGCGCAGAUAUCAGGAGGAACACCAGUGGCGAAGGCGGUUCUCUGGGCAUUACCUGACGCUGAGGAGCGAAAGUGUGGGGAGCGAACAGG
rnacentral:rRNA from 1 species